CCUGGCUCAGGAUGAACGCUGGCGGCGUGCUUAACACAUGCAAGUCGAACGGGGCGACCCCCAAACGGAGUUUUCGGACGAACUGCGGGGAAGUGCCUAGUGGCGGACGGGUGAGUAACGCGUGAGCAACUGCUUGGAUGGGAUAACAGAUGGAACAUCUGCUAAUACCGCAUGAUGCAGUUGGGCCACAUGGCUCUGACUGCCAAAGAUUUAUCGCUCUGAGAUGGGCUCGCGUCUGAUUAGCUAGUUGGCGGGGUAACGGCCCACCAAGGCGACGAUCAGUAGCCGGACUGAGAGGUUGGCCGGCCACAUUGGGACUGAGACACGGCCCAGACUCCUACGGGAGGCAGCAGUGGGGAAUAUUGGGCAAUGGGCGCAAGCCUGACCCAGCAACGCCGCGUGAAGGAAGAAGGCUUUCGAGUUGUAAACUUCUUUUCUCAGGGAUGAACAGAUGACGGUACCUGAGGAAUAAGCCACGGCUAACUACGUG
rnacentral:rRNA from 1 species